UGUCGUUUCACUGGCUCUGUGACGAAGUCUGCAUUAAAAGGAGGUGAGAGCUAGCAGGUUUUAUUGCCCCACUCAUCUCAUUUAUGUGCUUUCAGGCAUCAGUCCAAUUACGAAUUUCUCGAGACGUAAGUAGGUAAAGGAUUCUUCACCGUGUUGCUAUUGUUUGGCAUUCACCUGAGUUGGAAACAUUAUUUAUGGUGGGAAUUAAUUCGCAAUGUUGCCAUUUAUUGGUGAAACAUCCCCUCACAAGGAUGAUACCAUCUGAGUCAAAAUGCUCUGUAAGCCAUGAAGGAUGCCAGGAAAAUAGGACAUUAGUGUUCAGAGUUCAGCAGGGGAGAAAGUAAAAAAUAUAUUUGGUGUAUUUGAAAUGAGUGAACACUGAAAGAGGAUUCCAGCUCUGAUUUUUGAGGCUCUCUGUGAAAAGCUCUCAUGAUUUUUAAAGUUUAUAUUGGAGUUUCUUUGGGUUCACCAACCUGGUUCCCAGCCUCAGCAUUAGAAUUGGGAUAGCUCAGGUCAGAAAAGGGCAUCAUGGGUCUUGCUUUCAGUCUCACACACUCUGCUGCACGGACGGCGUGGUCUGGACAAUGCUUGCACGGCUCCCCAUUUCUCUUUUACACGUGAGCACUAACGCAGAGCCUGACACGUCGUGGACCUUCAGUAAACACCACCUUGUCAGCCCCGGUCGUUCCUUUGGGUUUUAAUGACUACUUCCCAGGAGGUGCCUGGCAAAGGUGCCAGGCUUUGUGGCAACCCCUUCACGUCUUAUUUACACUUACUCUUCACUUGGUAGACGCGCACUGGAGCGCGUGAAGGUUCAGCCCUCUGCCUGCCCCCGGUGCCCAGCUGGAAGGAGGUAGCCUCCAUUAGUACCCUGUGCUCAGGAGCGGGGAGUGCGGUAUCUUUUUUUGCCUUCUAUGUAACUAGUUCAUCAGGGGCCUCCUGAGGUUGACAUUGGAACUCAAAGGAAUCUGCUCUGAAUGUGGGGUAAACAUACUGGUUUCUCGUGUAGUAAUUUAACCACAUGUUCAUGUUCUCUCGUGUGGUAAAUUCAUUACUUCAAGCCCUGUAUUUAUCAAAGGAAUGUAUUUGAAGUUAGGAGACAGGGGAAUUACCUUUAGCUAAUUAGUAUUGCUUUAUUUAAAAAAAAAAAGGUUAAAAAAGAAAAAAAAUGGUUCAAGAAGACAUCAGACUUUAAACUGAUGCAGCUUUGUUUUUUUCAUAGCAGCUUUCCUUGGUCCCCUGCAUUUAGUUAUGGAAUUGGCCUUGAGGGCUUAAAAUUUAGUACAUUUGAUGUGUUUCACAUUACAAUUAAGCCUAUACAUUUAAUAAUUUUGGUGGUCAUGUGUCUGCAGGCCCACUAUUUUCAAUUCAGCAUUUAGUGUAUUUUAAAUAAAGGAACUCUUUUUUUUUUUUUCUCCCCUCCCUGAAAAAAGAAGGAAACGGAGGUUCACAGUCUUGCAGCCUUGCUCUGAAGGCUCAGUUCCAGUACCAACCACAGAUGGUUCAGUUCUUAAGGACAUUUCCCAAGUCUUGGGCUGAGUUAUAGGGUCUACCAUAUUUGUCCCCUUCUCUUUCUGAGCCCUUUGCUGCCUUUUGUCUGCAUUUACCUCUCAUCUCCUUGUCUCAGAUGAUGUGUUAUAGUAACACUGGCUAAUUUGAUCCCAGCUGGAGGACCAGUGUUAUGUAAACAGAAAUGUUGUAGUGCCUCUUGGGGAGAUUAUAGGCAAGUGCUGAUUUGUUAUACACUGAUCUUUAAAAAUUAAAAAAAUUCUUAUUUUAUUUUUAUAUGUUAUUAGGUAAUGAAUGCCUGCAGAUCGUAAUCAUCUUUUAUUUACUUACAUUAAAAAGCCCUAGAAAUUGAAUACAGUUGUAUUUCAGAAGUUGAGGUUUCCUUUAGCCAUUUGUUAAAGAUUUUAGCUGACUUACAUGGAGUCUGGCAUCUACCCCAGGUAAGCAAGAACUUUUGCCCCAUCUCUCCUGGGAGGCGCCUGUUUUUCCUUUAUUUUGGAUUCCUUGGUCAUCGUGCAUCCCUGACUCUCUGAUGACUUCAGCAAAAGUCCUGCUUUUGCUGAUUAUCUAGCUUUUCUUGUAAGGGUGGGAGUGACUCUGUUUCUAGAUUUCUGUAUCCUAAGUGCUUACCUUCACUUUUGAAAGAUAUAUUUGUUGGGUAAUGUAUGCUAGUUUUACAUGUUUUUUCUUUCAGUUUUUUAAAGGUGUCUCUCUCUUGUUUUCUGCUUGCUUAGUUUCUGAUCAAGGAGCAUGCCAUUGUUCUUGUGUUUGUUUCUCUAAAUGUAGUGUGUGUUUCUUCCCUGCUCUGGAUGCUUUAUAAGGUUUUUCUUUUUAUCUCUCGAUUUCAGCAAUUUGGUUAUGAUGGACUGUGGCAUCGUUUUCUUUAGCUUUAUUCAACUUGAGGUUUGUUAAGAUUCUUAGAUUGGUGGAUUUAUAGUUUUCAUCGAAUUUGGAAACAUUUGGCCAUUAUCUCUUCAAAUAUUUUUUCUGACCUCUCCCCCUUUUUAAAAAAAAUUCUUGUCCUUCCUCUACACGUAUGUUAGAUGGCUUGUUACUUCUCUUAGGUCAAUGAUGUUCAUUUUUUUUCACACUUUUUCUGUAUGUGCUUCAUUUUGAAUAAUUAUUUUGCCUGUAAAUUUAUUGAUCUUUUCUUCUUCAUUAACUAAUUUGCUGUUAAUCCCAUCCAGUGCUUUUUUUUUUCAUUGUACGUAUUUUAUUUUUUCAUCUCUAGACAUUCCAUUUGGGGCUGAUUUAAUAUCUUCCAUUUCCCUCUUUGUCAUGCUCAUGUUUUACUCUACCCUUUUCAGUAUAUGGAGCAUGUUUAUAAUAGCUGGUCCUUGUCUGCUGAUUCUGUUAUCUCUGUCGUUUCUGUCUGUGAAUGUUGAUUGAUUUUUCUCCUGGUGUUGAGUCAUAUUUUCCUGUUUCUUUGUGUGAUUCAUAAUACUUGGUUAGGUGCCGAGCUUUGUGAAUUUGAGGUACUUUUAAAAACAGUGUUGGAUUUGGUUCUGUCAUACACUUAAAUUCCUGGGGGUCAGCUGGAUCCUUUCAGGGCUUGGUUUUAGGCUUUUUUAGUGCAGGUUCAAAGCAGCCUUUCACCCAGGGCUAAUUUAGCCCCACUGUUCUGGUGUAACCCUUCUGAGGAUUCUACCGAAUGCCCAUGUGUUAUGAGUUCUCUCUACCCUGGCUGGUGGGGACCAUGGAAGUUCUGGGAGUUAUUAGACUGACUGCUUUACGGUGCUUCUGUCCUGGCCUCAUGAGAUUAGUCCUUAACCACAAAGACUUAGGGGUAGAGGAGUGAGUUCCCUCUGCAGAAAUCCGGGACACUCUCUGCGUAGUUCUCUCCUCUCCCACACUGUGUCCCUCACAUGUAGCUGCCAGGCCCUCCUGAACUUAGAUCUCGGUCUUCCCGUCGGCGGGAAACUCCCAUGCUGUUUGUGUCCCUGCCUCGGUGCUGUGGUCUGGAAACAGCCCACCGGGCAGUGAGCUGGAGGGAUCCUACAGCUCCCGCCCUUGUUUCUCUUUUCUUAGCAGUCAGUCGUGUGUUGCCCAUUGUCUGGUGUCUGGAAACAGUUGCUAAAUAUAUUUUGUCCACUUCUCUGACAGUUUAUGGUGGAAGUGCAGUUCGCAUAACAGUUCUUUGAUGAGUAGAAGCAUCUGUAUACACUUAAAAAUUUGUAGUAUGGAAAAUUUAAAUCAUAUACCAAACUAGGCAGAACAGUAUAUUAGACUUUCAACAGUUAUCAGCUCACGGCUGAUAUCCCAUCCACUUAUAUCCCAUCCACUUUCCCCCUUCUUGUAUUAUGUUGAAGCAAAUUCCAGAUAUUAUAUCCUUUCAACUCUAAAUAUUUCAGUAUGAAUCUCGAAAAUAUAAGGAUUAAUUUAAAAAAUAUAUGACCACAAUGCCAUUAUUACAUCUAAAAAAAUUAACAAUAAUUCUUUAAAAUCAACAUAUAUCUCUGUAGUCGGUGUUGAGAUUAUUGUAGUUAUCUCAUGAAGUCAUAAUCUUUUUUCAUGUACUUUGUUCAUGUGAAUCAAGGUCCGGAUAAAACCCCCCCCAUCGUGCUUGGUUGGUAUGUCUCUUUAGAGUCUUUUUUUUUUAAUAUGUAGAGAUUCUGAGUCCCACUCUUUUUUUUUUUUUCUUGUAAUUUAUUUGUUGAAGAAAUGAAUCUGGGAGAAACGGUCUGGAUUUUGCUGAUUGUAUCUCUUUUGUAUCCUCUGUAUUUCCUAUAAAUUGGCAGCUGUAUCCAGUAAACUGGCAGUUUGCUUAUUUAUGCAUUUUUUUCAUUUAACUUUUCAUUUUGAAAUAACUUUAGACUGCUAGGGAAUUGGUUAAAACAGUACAGAGAGCUCCUAUAUACCUCUUAUUCAGAUUCCCGGGGGAUCUGAGAAAACCAUAGUGUAAUUAUCUAAAUCAAGAAAAUAAUAAAUCUGUAUGAAAAUAUUGACACAGUACUGUUAACUUGUAGACCUUACUUAAAUUUUGUAACUUUUCCCCCUAUUUCUGUUUUCUGGUCCAGAGUCUAGCUCAGGAUAUUACAUGUAGUUGUCGUGUCUCCUCAUCUCAUUCUCCUUCAAUCUGUGACAGUUUUUUUUUUUCUUCCUUACAACUUUUACCCUUUUGAAGGGUACUGGUCAUUGACUAUGUAUAGUGUCCCUCAGUUUGGGUUUGGGUUUGUGUGAUGUUUUGUCAUGAUUAGAUUGAUGUUAUACAUUUGAGACAAGAAUACCAGAGAAGUGAUAUUGACCCCUUAUGAAACAUUUGAAUAAUUUUCCCUACUUUUGGUCUUCUGGGUUGUUUUAUUGCUGUUAAGCCAGAAUUGUGAUUUCAGUGGACAUUUCUUUCAUGUAUUUUUGUAGAUUCCAAAAUGAACCUGAAUGAUUUUAUCAGUAUGGAUCCUGAGGUAGGAUGGGGAGCCGUCUACUCACUGUCUGAAUUUGUACAUCGGUUUGGCAGUCAGAACUACUGAACUUGACCUCUGGAUGUAGUGCCAUGGAGAAAUUCUAGGACGUGAACAAUCCACCCCUUCAUCUGAGACAGCAAACAUUAUGAUGAUGAGUCUUCUGCUUACUCAGAAACUUCCACUCAAAUCCUCUGCCUUGUGCUCUGGAGGGACACCUGCAGUCAUUUCCUCAGGAGUCAGUCAGUCAGUCAGUCUAAGGAAAGACCAUAUAUCCAUUUGGCUCGGCUGACCUGGAAGAUGCUGGGAGAAAGUGAAUCAACUUUGGACUGCUGGGCUAGGGCCCCUGGGAGUUUGGGGCUGCUGGUGGGUAUCUUGACUGCCACAGAAGAAAGGCCUGCCUGCAUAAUGCACCCGAGCAGAGCGGGAGCCCCAAGGACAUUUCUGAGUGCCUGGAUCUUUCUUUGCUUCAGACCAACCCCAAUUUUCGAACUUGCCAGUUAUACAAACCAGUGGGUUCCUUUUUCUCUUCAGUUUGUGUGAGUUGGAUCGCUGUCAUUUUUAACUGAAAGGUAAGAUCCCUUGCAAGAUUUUUCUUCAGAAUUGUUGAUUUUAUCAGGAACUGUUUCUUUUGUCUCUCUGUGCUUAAUUUUUCUCUGAGGUCAGAUUUGCUUCUCUUUAUACUCAGUAUGUGUGAGAGAACUGAAUAAAUACUGAUAAAUGCUGUUUGGAAAGAGGAACUUUCAAGAAAAGCAGGGGACUAAAAUAGAAUUUGUAGAUGACUAUGAAAAUAAGAGAAAUAAGGUAUCUCUGAGAAUCUGAUGGGAAAGCAAAUACACAAUAUAAAAUGGCUCCCAGGUCAAUAGAACUGACUAUACCUGAUUGUGGGUAUUACCGUGGCUUUUACAAGUGAUUGUGUCUUUCAGAAGAAGGGUUUGUUAGCAGUGGAAGUAAAGACAAACGCUUUUUUGUGUGUGGUUUUUCUCAGUUUAAUUUUUAAUUAUUUAAAAAUAGAUGGCACAUGCACAUUGUACAAACGCAAAAGAUUUAAAAAGGUAUACAAUGAAAAGUACUCUUCCCUCCCAUUCUUACCUUCAGUUUUCUGAUUUCCCUACCCAGAAACAACCUGUUUUCAGUUUCUUUUCUAUCCUUAUAGGAAUUUUUUUAUGCCCAUGGAAGCAUAUAGCAUUAUGUAAUAAAUUCUGGGUUUUUUUUCUUCCCGCAAAUGGUAACACUUUAAAAGUAUUGUUCUGCAUUUUACUUUUUAAAGUUAAUAUAUUUGGAUAUUUUCCAAUCAGUAUAUGUUGAAUUUCCUCUUUUCUUUUAAGGGAUACAUUGUAUUCUGUGGUGUGCAUGGUCCAUAACUGAACAGUCCUGAAGUUGUUGUAGUCUCUUGGUAUGACCCCACCCCCUGCCAAAAAAAAAAAAAAAAAAAAGGUUCCAGGAGUAUUUUUGGCCAUGUGUCUUUAUAGCAAUUUCUGAGAUAAAUUUUGGAGGUGUAGACUGCUAAUUGUCCCAUCGAAUCCAUUCUUUUUUUCUAGAAAAAGGGAUACAAAUGUUUUCUAUAAAGGGCCAAACAGUAAAUAUUUUAGGCUUUGCAGUCUAUAAGGUCUCUGCUGUAGCUGCUCAACUCAGCCUUUGUAGCUGGUAAGCAGCCAUAGACGAUAAGUAAAUGCAUGGAUGCGGCUGGGCUCCAGGAAAACUUUGUUUAUAAAAUGUGGGGGCUCGAGGAUUUGACCCUUGGGUUACAGUUUGCUGUCCCUUGUUUCAGAGUCACAGAGGUGCAGCUGGCCUUGUGGCUGCUCUGCCAGGGACUACAUUUCCCAGUGUCCUUUGCAGCUGGGUAUAGCCAUGUGACCAGGUUCUCACCGUAGGAAUGUAAGGGGAAGGGUGUUUGUCACAGGGCUGACUUGUGGGACGUUGCCCACCCACUCCUUCACACCUCUCUUCACACCCCCUUUCCUAUUGGAUGAUAUGAUGGUGACUAGAAUGACCUUGGAAGCCACCCACUGAAGAUGGCAGAGCCACCAUCAACCUGGGUUCCUGAAUGACCCUAUGGAGCCGAGCUGCAGACCUGCCUGAAAAGUAUAUUGUAGAACUGUUCCAUAAGAGACACACUUGUGUAUUUUUUUAAGUCACAGAGUCAUUGGUGAGUCUUGAUUCUGCAGUUUAGCCCUCCCUAGUUAAUACAGUGCCCAUUCAGGACUUGUCACAGGGUAUUUCUACUGGGUUGGAAAUGAGACUUUGUGAUGUUCCAUGUGGAGUUAGAUCCUCGGUGUUUUCGUGCAAGCUGCCCCUUAAGUGUCCUGGAGUGUUUGUGGGAUUAUUGCCCUUUGCAGGAAUGUUCAGGAACACUGAACGCAGGUAUCCAUCCAUACCUCUUAUUUUGCAUGAAGUUCGAGAGCCUUGUGGGAAAGAAGCCAAAUGAAUCCUGUCCUCAUUUACAGUUCAGACAUGUGUGGGCCUCUCUGAUGGACUAGGGGUCCUCAGAGCUAUCCUAGCUAGAGGAGAGGAAAACAGAUUCCUGAGGGAAAAUCACUCUUGAGUGAGGAAGACACCUGGCUGAGUGGACCAGACCUGGCAACGAGGCCUGGUGGUUAGAGGGACCACCGGUGGCAGGUACAGUGUGAGGUGUGCUUCCUCAUUGCUCACCCUUCAUGCGGUGCACCCCUUUCCUUGCUCUCUCACCCUCUUGAAAGCCCUGUCCUCUGGGAAUGAAGGGAAAGUACUGUGUCACUAGGGGCCCAACACGGCUCUGUGGGAACCUUGCAAGUAGCUGGUCUUGGGCAUCAAAGAACAGUGGAGGCCAGUGGCCUGAGAGUUUGGAAUUCUGGUGGUUGAGUGGUUGGCUCAGAGCAACGGAGCAGAAGCAUUGAUAAAGCCUGAAAGCUGUGGCUCUGAUUUUCUGUGAAUCCCCAUUUCAUCGGGACUUUUUUUGGGUUGCUGUUCAAUUCAAAUAAACACUUACUGAGCCUAUGUUAAAUGGGGGCAUGGUUAAGAGAGGCCCCUCUUCUGUCUGUGUACAAUUUCUGCCACUCUGUUUAUCCUCAUAUGUUUCACUGUUCUUUUAGUUAUUCAAACUCCUAUAAUGGAAUGGUAACCUUGUUCAGAAGCUCAGAAUCUUCUUAGAACGUUGUUAGUAGAGUGAUGGUCACAGCUAGUGGAUAAUCUGCUUCAUUUUCUGAAAAAAAGAAAACACUGAGCUGGACUCGUUGCUUCCCAUGAAGAUGCUGGGCUCAUCUGGGGCUCAUCUGGGUCAUUUGUAGAGACGCAGAUGGACCUAGAGGCUGUCAUACAGAGUGAAGUAAGUCAGAGAAAAACAUAUCGGCUAUUAACGCAUAUAUGUGGAAUUUAGAAAAAUGGUACAGGUGAACCUGUUUGCAAGGCAGAAAUAGAGACACAGAUGUAGAGAACAAAUGUAUGGACACCAAGGUGGGAAAAGGGGGCGGGAUGAAUUGGGAGAUUGGGAUUGACAUAUAUACACUAGUAUGUAUAAAAUAGAUGACUAUGAGAAUCAGCUGUGUAGCACAAGGAAACUCCACUUCGCUGUACGGUGGAAACUAACACAACAUUGUAAAACAACUAUACCCCAAUUAAAAAAUAAAUAAAUAAAAAUAACUUAAGGAAAAAAAAAGUGCACAGAUGUGGAACCGGUGGAGAGCGGGCCGGCUGUGUUUCAUCUGGGUCGUGGAGAAACCUUGCCACCACCACUCAUAGGUUCCCUGCUUUUUUCCUUGUCCCCUUCCCACCUUUCAGUGUUUUCUGCACAAAGCAGCCAGAGUGAUCUUUUAAAAAUAUAAACCAGAUCAUCUCACUUCCCUUCUUUAAAACCACCAGCACCACCACUUCACACUGGCUUCAACAUGUACUUAAGGUAAAAUCCACUGUUCUUACUCUGGCCCACAAGGCCCUGUGGGGUCUGAAUUGGCUGCCUCUGUGAUUCCAGCUCCACCACUCCCAGCCAUUCCCCGUCCUCCCUCCCCUGUGAGGUUUCUGUCUCUGAGCAGGAUGAACUCAUUCCUUCCUUAGGGACCUCACAUUCCAUUUUUUCUGAUUUGACCCUUUCCCCCCAUAUUUUCUCUUGGCUGUUAGCUCCCUGACAGGUCAACUAAUCCUUCCCUGGUCAUGUGUCGGAAGCUGCCUGCCCCAGUCAGCGUCAGGCUACUUCACCCCUUUUUUCCUUCAUAGCAAUUAUCACUAUCUGAAAUGAUUUUGUGUAUUUAUUUGUGUAAAGUGUGUUUUCUAUUUCUUUUCACUAGCCUGUGAGCUCUCUCUGCCUUGCCUAGUACAGUGUCUGCCACGGUGUAGGCACUCAACAAACGUGCCUCAAAUAUUUAAUGAAGGAACAAUUCCUGUUACUGCAGGGGUCUGGAAGGUCAGGUCUCCCAUCCCCCGCAGGAUGUCUGGGUAAUGCUGGAAAAGUGCUGCUAAAUUCUUGCUCUUUGCAUUUUUCCCUUUGACUGGAUUCUGUUCUUUUUUCAGAUUAUACUGUCCUUUUGCAAACAGUACUGUUUAGAAAAGGUAUAUAAUUCUCGUUUAGGUUGUGCUGUCCUUUUUCUUUAGCUGUCUCGCAAGCCUCCACUCCAAGCCCUACUAUUCUUUCACCUUUUGGUCUAGAAAGCACGUUACAGAUGACUUCCAGAGAGCAGAGAUUAUCACGAGUUGAUUGAAUCAGUGUCACUGUCACACUCUUGGUGGGUUCCUCACUCUAGUUACCUGUUGCAAACAUAUAUUGAAAGCACCUUGUUCUGUGUGUCUGGUCGUGACAGUUGGGGAUCACAUUACUUUUUCCUUCUAAGCUGACCACAUAGCCUGGCAUCAGAGAAUUAACUAUUUCUUUCACCCUCUCAGUCCAAGGAGAGCAUGGCUUUCACCAUGAGCUACGGCAGUCGUCUGUUAGAGCCAGGCUUUUUUUUUUUUUUUUUUGUGGUAUGCGGGCCUCCCUCUGUUGUGGCCUCUCCUGUUGCGGAGCACAGGCUCCGGACGCGCAGGCUCAGCGGCCAUGGCUCACGGGCCCAGCCGCUCCGUGGUAUGUGGGAUCCUCCCAGACCCGGGCGCGAACCCGGUUCCCCUGCAUCGGCAGGCGGACGCGCAACCACUGCGCCACCAGGGAAGCCCUAGAGCCAGGCUUUUAAUAACAUCCAUUUGUUAUCAAGGGAGCAGUCGUAGCAGAAUUUCACUUAGAGUCAGUGGGCAGUCUUUCCUGUGGUUUCCAUGGGGAUCUGGUAUUUUAGAGCAAUUUCCGGGAAGAACAUUGGAAAGAAAUUGAGGGGCAAAAUGUUAAUGUCACUGUUCUGGCACACACCGUUUCUAGAACCACGGGCAAUGGAUGAGUCACUUCCCCCCGAAGGCCCACAGGGUGCAGAGCUGUGUGUGACCUCCUCGGGGCCAGAUGUGGAGGAGACCUAGUGCCUGCACUCAGAAUACAGGAGAAAUCAGAUUUGAGUCCUUAGUCCCCAUUGUAGCUGUGCUUUUGUUAGUCAUUUGCUGUGUGACCUUGAGGAAGUCACUUAACCUCUCUGGGCCUUCAUUGCUUCACUUAAGAGUUAUUUUGAGGCUCAGAUGAGAUUGUGUGUGUGUGUGUGUGUGUAUGUCUGAGAGAGGGAGAGGGAAUUUUUCAUAACUCUGAAAGGUAACGUGUUUGAAUCGCUAACACUUACUGUGUGCCUAGUAGGCGCUAGAUAGCCCUUCUAAGUCCUGUAUGUGUAUUAACCCAUUUAAUCCUUAUAACAACAAUGUAAGGUAGAUAACUGUUACUCUCCCCAUGUUGCAGAUAGGGAAACCAAGGCACGGUGAGUUAAAGUAACUAACCCAAAGCCACCUAGCUAGUGAGUGGCAGAGGCAGGAUUUGAAUCCAGAUAAUCCCACGUUAGGACCAGGCUGCCAUCAUCUUUACCCAGUUCCCAGUUCACCUCCACAUUCUGUAAGCAAAUUCCAGUCGCUAGAGAGGGGUUCUCUAUCGUGGGGCAGGAAUUGGGGCAUCCAGUUUCCCCGUGGCCUGGGCAAAGUGUCUUUCAAAGCUAUCUCCCUGAAUUAAUCAACUUUGUAGUUACUGCAAACAAUGUUUAUCAAUUAAUUUCAAACUUUUUGAGCUUAAGAUUUGUUGGAGAGUUUGUUAAAAAAAAAAAAAAAAGGCAGAUGCUCAGAACCCUCCCUGAGGGAUGCUGAUUCAGUAAACAUACCAGUCAGGCUUCAGUUGCAGGUAACAGAAGUCACUCUUGCUGCUUGAAGCCGAAAAGGAUUUGAUUCAAAGUCACAGAGAAGGGAAGCAAACAUUUGGAGAGCGGGGUCAUUGGGUGUAGCAGUCAGAGAUGCUUCACUGCUCUCCCUUGGUGCCUGGACCCAUGAAUUCUGGCAGCACCGUCAUGGCUUACUGCAUUCUUUAGGACAGGACCUCAAUAUCACCAGGUGGUGUCUCCCAGCUGGUACUGUGCCUCAGCCUUCAAUAGGUCAUUUAUUCUACCAUCCAGAAGAUCAGCUACUUCCGGAUUAUGGGGAGCAUUGUAAAACCAGAGAAUCCUGGGGGCACCACUUCAUUGACUUACUUCUUUUGCUGUAAGUGGAUUCGUGAUUAGAAGUAAUGUUGGCUUUGAGUAAGUCACUUUAACUCACUGUACUUAUUUACAUGACUCUCCAAUGCCAAAUUCCAGAGGCUGUGACAUUCCAUUUCAUAGUUUCCUAUAAUCUGACAGUGGUUGUAUUUCCAGAUAAAUACUUUAGGUAAUAGUCAUCCUGCUUGUUCCUGAUGCUAUUGAAUGUCAAGAGAACUUAUA